rnacentral:tRNA from 1 species
GCCGGUAUAGCUCAGUGGUAGAGCAACGCUUUCGUAAAGCGUGGGUCGUCCGUUCAAAUCGGACUACCGGCU